ACACAUCAGACCUCAGGCUGGCUCGCCUGGCCUGCCAGACACAUGCUCAGCGGAGCCAGGUGUGAGUCUGGGGUCUGCCGCCUGGCCCUUCCUCCCUGGGGUGCAUGGGCCAUCCGGGUGGGAGCGCCAGGAGCCAGGGCUGCUAUUCCCAGACUGCAGGAGAACCGCAGCCCUGUGCCUCCCUCAGGUCUGAGCUCUCGCCUAGGCUUCCUGGGAAAGGAAAACGCCCCCACCUGUUCCAUGGGUGCAGUCUGCACUGGGAGCUUGCAAGCCAAGCCUGACUGAGGGAGGUGACAGGGACCCUGGCAUUUCUCUGUUUAUUCUGCAUCCUUUUAACAUUGUUGUUACAAAAAUAAACACUCCCAAAGUAGAAAAUUUAGAAAAUACGGAUAAGACCAAAAAAGAAACAAAUGAAAACCACCCACAAUGCUGCCUCCCAGAAGCAAGUUCACUUUCCUUUUCCUUCCAGUCUUUUUUCUGCGGGGCAGGUGCGCGUGCAUGUGCUCCUUACCCAAAUGGGCCCCUGGGUAAGCUCUGCCUGGGGAAUCUGUUUCUUCAGUUCACUGUACGGUGAGCACGUUUCCACGUCAAAGUGCAUUUUCCUUUGCCAUCCUUUCUGCCCGUCAUGUGUUUUCGGCUAGGGCGCUUGGAGCGGGGCCGCGGGUCCCAGCUGGAUCCCGCCUCCAGCCCCUUUAGGAAGGGUGCUGGGCCGGCCAGCCGGGGGUGUUGAGUAAAGGAAAGGCCCCAGGGCGGCUGUUUGCAACAAGAGCCCCGCCCCAGCCCCACCCUGACUCCUGGGGCCUUCGACUAGUCACCUCCCCCCUGGGCCUCAGUUUCUUGACCCAAAACACGGGAUGGUUGGGCUCAGGGCUUUGGCAGCUCUAAUGUCCCAUGAGUAAGCACUUGGAGACUCACAGGAUUCCAGAAACCUCUGGGAGCGUUGGCUGCUGCGGGGAAGAUGCUUGUUCCCAGUGAGGAAGAUUGUCACUCAGCUAACAUCUGUGCCAAUCUUCCCCCAUUCUGUUUGUGGGACACCACCACAGCAUGGCGUGAUGAGUGGUGUCUAGGUUUGCACCCAGGAUCUGAACCGGUGAACCCUAGGCCACUGAAGCGGAGCGUGCAGACUUAACCACUACACCACUGGGCCAGCCUGGCUUUCCUUUCCUUUUAAGGCUCAAUAAUGUUCCAUUGUAUGUCUACGCCACAUUUUGCUUAUCCAUUCAUCCCUCAGUGGACACUUGGGCAGCUUCCACCUUUUAGCCAUUGUGAAUAGUGCUGCUUGGAACACGGAUGUGCAAACACCUGCUCAAGAGGCUGCUUCCAACUCUGGCGCACAUCCAGAAGUGGCAUUGCUGGACCAGAUGGUAAUUCUAUUUUGAAUUGUUUGAGGAACCACUAUGCUGUUUUCUAUAAUGGCUGCAUCAUUUGACCUUUCCACUAACAGUGCACAAGGUAGCGGUGUCUCCACGUCCUUGUCAACACUGGUGAGAGUAGUCAUCCGAGUGGGGGAGAGGUGACAUUUCACUGUGUUCUUGAUUUGCAUUUCUCUAAUGACGAGUGAGAUCGAGCAUCGUUUCGUAUGUUUGCUGGUUUAAUCUGCUUUAAUUUUUUUUAAAGAUUGGUACCUGAGCUAACAACUGUUGCCAAUCUUUUUUUUUUUUUUUUUGCGUUAUCUCCCCUAAUCCCCCCAGAACAUAGUUGCAUAUCUUAGUUGCAGGUCCUUCUGGUUGUGGCAUGUGGGACACCACCUCAACGUGGCCUGACGAGCGGUGCCAUGUCCACGCUUAGGAUCCGAACCGGCGAAAUCCUGGGCCGCUGAAGUGGAGCACGCGAACUUAACCACUCGGCCAUGGGGCCAGCUCCUGCUUUAAUUUUUGUUUACAUUUUUUCAUUAUAUUUGGAGGUCUUAUCCUAGUGAUGUGAUGUUUCCACUUUCCGGUCUUACCGGGACUACCCCAACUUUGCCAACAGUUGCUCAAGUCUGGAAGGAGUUACAUCUCAGUGGUGGGAGGAAAAGCUCAUGUUCUGAGCAUCAUGCUCGUCAGAUGUAUGCCGGCCUGCAGCGAGGGUCCACUCUAGGUGUCUCCACUCUGUGGCAAGUGGGGUAAAACAGAAGGGGCUUUUGUGGGGGGCGGUGCUUCAUUUCAGGGGCAGUAUUAGAAAGCUCCCUGUGGCUACAUAUUUAAGAUGUUCUUUUCUUCAGCCUUUUCCUAGCAAUAAAGUUGGUAUCUUGAUCCCCACCUAUCUGUCUUCUGAAUAUAUUUCUUAUGUGAGUUCUUUGUGAACUCAAGAAGGAAGGUAAAAACAUGAUCUGUUGGACCCCUAAACCUUAACCCAGACCACAAAAUCAAAAUCAGUAGGCAUUUAAUUUAAUACAAAAACCUCACAUUUCAUCUACGAGUUUACUGUUCUUAUAUAUUCUGCUGCUCCUAUAUGAUUAUAUUUCCUGCAGGAUGGCGGGAGUGAAUGUGCCUGAUGUGAUUUGCAGUGUAGUUUCCGAAAUUAAGAGGGCCAGAGCCCCACAAAGGCUUUAAAGAGGCUUUCAAGAGGUCAGGUAAGCCUGAGACCGGCCUACAGUCUCUGUUCCGGAUGGACGGCAGGUUUGUGACGGGAGCAGGCAGUGCGGGUGCGGGUGUCCAUGGAGUAAAAAGUUCUAAAAUAGUUUGCCUGUUGGAUUGCUGCAAACCACGCUGCAUUUGCCCCUAGAAAACAUUCUGGGUUUCAGCCACACGGUGUUGAGUCCGCUUAGUCUAAAGGGACAGAGAAGUGGUGUUAGUGUCAGUGGGCCGCCCCUCAGGGCUAAGAUCUAUGGCAUUUAUGCGGUUUUGUUUUGUUCAAUCCUUGUAUGCACGCCUCACUACAACCCUGUGGAUUGAGGAUGAUAUUAGCCUUGUUUUACAUCUGAGGACACUGAGACUUAAAGAGUCAAGUCGUUUGCCCGAGGUCACACAGCUAGCAGGUGCCGACCCUGGGUUCUGACCCGCUCCCUGCGACUCCACUCUUCGUACUGACUCCAUGUUACAGUCGAACCGUUCAUGACCAUCUCCAUUCCUGAUACAUUUUCUGAGGAAACAAUCCAAGAGAAACAAAAAGUCACAUGCAUAAAAAUUUCCCUUAGAAUGUUUUAUGGAAUUGUGGCCAGAGGAGCAAAUGGAAGGGACACGAGAAGGGAGCUAUUUCAGUACGUUCUGGUCCAAUACGUUCUGUAGAAGCCCAGGCCUGCUCUACGAUGGGAACUCUGGACGUUACGCUGGACACGAAGCCCCGUAGAUGACAAAGCUAAACGGACAAGGCAGAAGAGAACACGAUGUGUGCUCCACGACGGCAACAGUGUGACAAGGCACAUUUGCCCAUGUGUGCUCAAAACUGAAGGGAAAGAUGCAAAAACAGAAACAACUUUUACUAACAAGCAGGAUCUGGGUGAAUUUUUUUUUUAACCAGUAGUGUUCUCAACGCUGCCAAGGCUCUACCUUGUCAAUAAAAGCUGUGCGAGGUGCUGAGGGCAUAGCCCACGGCGGGGAGGGGGCCCACAGGCCAGCCGGGGAGUCGGAGUGGCCCGGCCACACUCCGCCUGCCGACAGUGGCCAGGCUGGGAGAAGGCCGCAGCGGACUGCCCUCCUCGCCAGUCCCGGGGCUCCUUCAGCUUGAAGCAGACGCGAGGCCCUGCGCGCAGUUUCCUGUGAGCAUCGCACGGGGAAGGGGGAUUUCCGCCCUGACUCCAGACAGCCUGAAUCCUGAAGAUCCAACAUGUUGGGGAAGUUUUCCCAAACUUGCCCAGAGUGCUGAUGACACCACCGAGACGAGACGCAGGCAGGACUGGGGCGGCGCGAGUGACCAGAGAAGCCCGUCACGCUUUCCUGAGGGAAGGGAGAGGUGUGAAGCGGGGAUGUCCUGCGGGCGGCACCGCAGAGCCAUCCUUCUGCUCUGAGAGUUCUCAUGGCUUUACCCACAUCCACCAUCCGUGGACCAGACUUGCUGGUGACGAGUGACCUUCUAAACUCAUUGACCCAGAGCCUACAGUGACCGACCGGACUUUGAAAGUUCUGAUGGUUGCCACUGGGGCAUCAGCUGGCUGGCAUAAGAGGGGCUGACAGGACCUUGUCUGAGGGACGUCACCUGGUGGUUCUGCCUCCUGCUGCCCCCUCACUCCCAUCACGUUUCAGCGGCCACCUGACUGGGCUACUCGCAGCACGUGAGAAAACCAUACGAUGAAAGAUCCUUUUCUUCCUGCCUACUUCCUUUCUUCAGCUUUGGACAUUGUCAUGUGAGGAUUUAGUGCCUGGAUCUGCAGCAGCUAUUUUGUGAGAUGAGGCAAAGAGCAUGAGAAUGGAAGCUGGUGUGCUAAGAGUGGUACAGAAGGAUGAACAGAUUUUGUGUGACACUGUCAUUGAGCUACUGAACCAACCCUGGAACUACUUUUUUCUGUGCUUUUUGUUAAGAAAACAAUAAAGCCUUUCUCUUAAAAAAG
rnacentral:lncRNA from 1 species